CCGGAAGUCUGUGUCCUAGAAGUUAUCCCCGCACAAGCCACAGGCGCCUGAGCUGUGCGUGGCGGGAGAGGCAGGGCUGGCAGAGCCCGGGAGGGAGGCAGGCACAGAGCCACUGGGAGUGGGGCGGGGACGGAGCCGGGCUGGCAGGACUUGGGGCCAAGGCGGGACAGGCGAGUGUGACAGCCACAGCCAAGGCCAGGGCGGUGUCCCUGCACCCUGUGUGGGUUUGGGGGUGUCUGGCCGGGGCGGGGUGUGUGCGAAGUGGGUGGAGACAGAAAUCAUGCUGGGGAUGUCCACGCGGGAGCGUAGGAGUCAGUGCAGAAAACGCGUCUCCCUGGUGUCGGCAGCUCCGGCCCCCGGGCUGCUGCGGGAGCAAGUAGACCGGCUCCUUAGCGGCUCAGCGCAGCGGACGCCGAGUCCCAGCGGGGGCGUCCUCCUGCAGUGACUCAGGGGCCCUGGCUCUGUCUGUCCUCGGAUGCUCCCUUCCCAACACUUGGCUUCCAAGGUUGGACUGGAGCUGGGACCUGAUUGAACCCCUCGGUCCUCAGUGCCCAAGCGUAGAAGCCGUGGAGCCGCAUGGCCCUGGUGACUGGGCUGCGUGACCCCUCUGUGGCCCCCUCCUGACCUGAGAAAGUGGUGCAAACAUCCACCGCGUCAUCUGGUCGUUAGGAGCACAGAGCCUGACCCACGAUAGACACCACGGGCAUAAUAAAUGCCGCUUUCUGUUUGCUUCAGCAGGAUGUGGACAAAACCUUUAAAUUUGUUUUUAUGCAUUCAAUGCGUCCAGCUGUUACGACUCUGAAGCAAGUGUGAUUUUCAGUCUUUUGUAGUUGUUAUUCAGGGCAGUCCUGUUGUGCUGGGCUUGACUGAAGCGGCCAACACGGUCAUGUGUGUGUCUCCAGGCAGCAACCUGCAGUGAGCCCAAGAUCAUGGUCCAGGGCUCCUCCUCCCGGCAGGGAGGAACUGUCCUCAGCAUCCUCUGAGCCCCAGGUGUGCAGGGGGCAGGGUCAGGUAGAGAGAGGGGAGGAAGUUAGCUGAGGAACAAUGGCUAUUGGUCAGAUUUCCCUACCCCAACCCUGACACAAGCGCCUCGCACAUCAUUGGCUGAGAUCAGUCUCUCCAUUUUCCUAAUCGAUUCUUCAUGCAAAGCCACAUUUUGGAGAAAAGGAAUGGUUAGAAUCAUGGCAGGAUUGCUGAGGCAGUGAAUUGAAGAGGCUGCGUAGUGCUUGCAACCAGUUACCAUAUUUCCCUGGAGGAAUCACCAGCAACCGACUCUCCCAGGACUUACGAGGUGCUUCCCUUAUCACCAGCCGUCUCAGCACAAGUAGGUGAGUUUCUCUUUGAGCUGGUUUUCCAU
rnacentral:lncRNA from 1 species